rnacentral:misc_RNA from 1 species
UUUCCGUAGGUGAACCUGCGGAAGGAUCACUAAUAGGAUUGAGUGUAAGUGAGGGCUGGGUGAGUGUAUGGGUGGGGGAUGUUGGAGAUAUUGGUGGAGGUGGAGGUGGAUAUGUGAGUGGUAAAAUUAAAGUGUUAGUAUGAAAGUGAUAGUAUAAAGGUGAUAGUAUAAAAGUACUAGCAUGUUUGUAUCAUCACUCCAAUUUUACCAUCAACAUGUUAUCACUAACACACUACCAUCGAUCACCAUCCCCAUGACACACACAUCUGCCUUUCACCGGCUUCCUUGUCUGACUGUAUGGGUUGAAUGAAGAAUGACAACUUUUAACAAUGGAUCUCUUGGCUCUU